rnacentral:rRNA from 1 species
UACCAACCCUCCGAGUGGUAGGGAUGAUUAUUUAGCUUAAAGCGUCCGUAGCUGGCUUGAAAAGUCCUCCGCUAAAUCCAGCGUCUAAGCGUUGGAAAGCGGAAGAUACUAUCAAGCUAGGAGGCGGAAGAGGCCGACGGUAUUUCUAGGGGAGGGGUGAAAUCCUAUAAUCCUAGGAGGACCACCAGUGGCGAAGGCGGUCGGCCAGAACGCACUCGACGGUGAGGGACGAAAGCUGGGGGAGCGAACCGGAUUAGAUACCCGGGUAGUCCCAGCAGUAAACUAUGCAGGCUAGGUGUUGGGGCGGCUACGAGCCGCUUCAGUGCCGCAGGAAAACCGUUAAGCUUGCCGCCUGGGGAGUACGACCGCAAGGUUGAAACUUAAAGGAAUUGGGCGGGGGAGCACUACAAGGGGUGAAGGCUGCGGUUU